GAUAGAGUCCAAUUAAUUUUUUUCUGUUGCUACUUGUGUGUUAUAUCUAAGAAUGUAUUACCAAAUCCAAGGUCAUGAAGGUUUACCUCUGUAUUUUCUGGUUUAAUAUUUUUGAGUCUUAUAUUUACAUCAUUGAUCCACUCUUUGAGUUAAUUUUUAUAUAUGGUAUGAGGUAGGGGUUAUGAACAUGUCUUUGUUUUUAGACCUUUUAGAAAUGCAAACAUUUUAAAGAUUUAGUAACCACUUCACAGUUCUUUCUCAGUGAUAGCAGGCAGAUGCAAUAUUCAUGCAUAUUAAAACCUAAUACUUUGAAAAAGGAAAAAAAAAGGCAUGCUUGAACUUUUCACCUCAGAUGUCUUCCAGUCAAGGAUUCCUGGACACCAUCAGAUUUUAUUUUUCUGGUGCUUGCUUUUUCUUAACUGUUUUGCUGGCCUAGCUAGGUUCUGAAAUAUUCCUUACCAACUUCUCCACAGAGUUUGAGGCCCUGACAUCAUGGCACUUCGUGAGUACAGGGGAAGACCGUCUCCUCACUGUAUCAAUGUCUCCUUCCCUUCCAUAGAAGUUUUGCUCUGUUAGCAUCAUAGCAAAUUCUCAUGAAUCUAGAUAUGGAAGAUUUUAAUGAUCACUAUCUACCGCCUAAAAAAUGAUUAGACUUUAGAGAACACAUAAAGUCUAUUCUUGUUUUGGUUAUCAGAAACACUGAAGGGAUCUGAGCUAAUUGCAGAGGAUCAUAAUCUUUUUCCUUCAUUCCCUUUCUAGGCUAUUUAUUUAUUUAUUUUCUUUCUUCUUUUUUUUAAAGCUUCAACUAUGUCUAAAGAGGAAUAGGUCAUUUCACAGUUUGCCAAAUGAAGUACAGCUCCAACUUUGCCAGACCGCAAUCUACCAAGAGGCUGGAACAACCAUUAUCUCUGACAACUUAAACUCGCACUCUCUUGUAUUCAUUGUAUCUGGUCUGUGUCGGAUAACUGCUCAGAUGAAUGCUAAGGAAAUACCUGUGUACGUUGCUGUGUCAUGAAGACCAGUUCUUCUACCCUGAAAGAGUUCCACACCAUUCCUCCACCAAGAGGAUGUCUUAAUGCAACUGGUAGAAUUUUAGCAAUUUCUCCCAAGACUUCACUGUCAGCAGGAAGGAAGAAAACACUCAACAAAAAGAAACAGAUUUCAGAUGGUUGGAAGAUGAGAUGGUUGGAUGACAUCACCAAUUCAAUGGACAUGAACUUGAGAGAACUCUGAUUGAUGGUGAGUGACAGGGAGGCCCCGGCAUGCUGCAGUUCACAGGGUCACAGAGGGUCAGACACAACUUGGCGACUGAACAACAAUAGCAAGAUAGCAGAUAUAUUGCAGAUAGAGCAUAUUUAUGAAAAAAUAGAAAUUCCACUUCGACUAGGA
rnacentral:lncRNA from 1 species